CUGCAGCUGGGCUGCCUAAUAGGAGCUCAAGUUCUGGGAUUCCAGCCUUGAAGAGAAAUGAAUCUGCACUUAGUGAGCCCUCACCCUGUAGGUCAGCUGCUGCUGGGCUGAGGAAAGACAAGCUGCCUCCUAGCAGGGUCAUUUGCAAGAAUGCCCACUUGUUCUUCAAAGAGAGAUGCCCACUUGUUCUUCAAAGAGAGAUGCGCAAAUGCCAGGAAUUUGCAUUAAAAGCAUUGCUUGCUUCUGCCAUUAACAUCUAAGUCAUCUUUAGCUAACAGCUGAAACUAAAGAAUGCAGAAGCAGGAGCAGCAUCUGCCCCUGGGAUUAUACUAUCCAUAUCUUCUUUAUAUAUUUUAGUUCAGCUGUUGAACUCUUCCAAAAUGGCACUCUGAAAACAAUGACCUAUUAUUACAGACAAAGCUUUAGCUAUACAUGUAUAUUUCCAAAGGCUUUGUCUUCCUAUGAAGGGUCACAAAGCUGCUAUUUUUUAGGGAAAAAAUAUCUUAGUUAUUUAGUGAUCAGUAUUUCUUGAUCAGUAAACUCUUGGUUAAGAAUUUAAGCAA